rnacentral:lncRNA from 1 species
UACACAUACUACAUACAUUGUUAAGGAAGCAUAUUGCUUUGCAUUUUUAAUGCAUAGAUGCAUUAAAAAAACAUACUUAAGUAUGGCUACAUCGUUAUAAUUCCAAGAGCAUUUCAGAAAGCUGUCUCUAUAGAAAAUAUUUUCCUACAAAUGUGGUAAUUACUAAGGAGAAUAUUUAACAUUGAUUAAAAAUGCCAGGAACUCUUGCUUUAAAGGGCAAUUUCUGAAGUUUAUGAAAACUUAAACUGAACGGGGGAAAUGACCAUGAGGAUUCAUAUCAUUGGUUUUACGUAGUUUCAUGACUUUUCCCUUGUAUAUUGAAGCUGAUAAGAGAAAUGGGCUGGCUGGGAUGAGGGAACUCGGAGGGGCAAACUGAGCCCUUUCCUCCUUCACAUCUAGCUUCUUUGCUAGAGAGACGACCGAGAACUAGAGAGAAGCACCUGCAGAUGUCCUUACACAGCUGGCCAGGGUCCAGAGCGGAGAAUUGGACCUGAAGAGACAAUGGUUCAUGUGAGCUGGUUCCAUCCAAGGCUGGGCAGAGCACCAGCACAGGGCCAGGAAACCUGGACUACCUGGUAACAGAUUCUGCAGAGAUUUCCGGGUGACUGAGUGGAGAGUGCAGACUCCAGGAGGUGAGUUAUCUGUGGAUUAGACUGGACUUCAUGAUAAGAGAGCAGUUUUCCCCAUGGAAGACUAGAGGCAUAGCAUCAAGAAUUGCAGCUCAGGUUGAGUGAAGACUGGGCAGAAAGGGCAGAUGUUUAGAGCUAGAAGAUUGUUUAACCCUUGCAGGUAAGAU